GACGAACGCUGGCGGCGUGCUUAACACAUGCAAGUCGAACGAUGAUCAGGAGCUUGCUCCUGUGAUUAGUGGCGAGCGGGUGAGUAACACGUGAGUAACCUGCCCCUGACUCUGGGAUAAGCGUUGGAAACGACGUCUAAUACUGGAUAUGAUCACUGGCCGCAUGGUCUGGUGGUGGAAAGAUUUUUUGGUUGGGGAUGGACUCGCGGCCUAUCAGCUUGUUGGUGAGGUAAUGGCUCACCAAGGCGACGACGGGUAGCCGGCCUGAGAGGGUGACCGGCCACACUGGGACUGAGACACGGCCCAGACUCCUACGGGAGGCAGCAGUGGGGAAUAUUGCACAAUGGGCGAAAGCCUGAUGCAGCAACGCCGCGUGAGGGAUGACGGCCUUCGGGUUGUAAACCUCUUUUAGUAGGGAAGAAGCGAAAGUGACGGUACCUGCAGAAAAAGCACCGGCUAACUACGUGCCAGCCGCCGCGGUAA
rnacentral:rRNA from 1 species